rnacentral:rRNA from 1 species
GGAAGUAAAAGUCGUAACAAGGUCUCCGUAGGUGAACCUGCGGAGGGAUCAUUACACAAAUAUGAAGGCGGGCUGGAACCUCUCGGGGUUACAGCCUUGCUGAAUUAUUCACCCUUGUCUUUUGCGUACUUCUUGUUUCCUUGGUGGGUUCGCCCACCACUAGGACAAACAUAAACCUUUUGUAAUUGCAAUCAGCGUCAGCAACAAAUUAAUAAUUACAACUUUCAACAACGGAUCUCUUGGUUCUGGCAUCGAUGAAGAACGCAGCGAAAUGCGAUAAGUAGUGUGAAUUGCAGAAUUCAGUGAAUCAUCGAAUCUUUGAACGCACAUUGCGCCCUUUGGUAUUCCAAAGGGCAUGCCUGUUCGAGCGUCAUUUGUACCCUCAAGCUUUGCUUGGUGUUGGGCGUCUUGUCUCUAGCUUUGCUGGAGACUCGCCUUAAAGUAAUUGGCAGCCGGCCUACUGGUUUCGGAGCGCAGCACAAGUCGCACUCUCUAUCAGCAAAGGUCUAGCAUCCAUUAAGCCUUUUUUUCAACUUUUGACCUCGGAUCAGGUAGGGAUACGCGCUGAACUUAAGCAUAUCAAUAAGCGGAGGA